AUCAACGCUGGCGGCGUGCCUCAGACAUGCAAGUCGAACGCGAAAGUCCCCUUCGGGGGACAAGUAGAGUGGCGCACGGGUGAGUAACACGUAGGUAAUCCACCUUCGGAUGGGGAAUAACAACCGGAAACGGUUGCUAAUACCGCAUAAUGCAGCGGCACCUAAUGGUGACAGUUGUUAAAGCGGGGGAUCGAAAGACCUCGCGUCUGAAGAGGAGCCUGCGGCGGAUUAGCUAGUUGGUAAGGUAACGGCUUACCAAGGCGACGAUCCGUAGCCGGCCUGAGAGGGCGGUCGGCCACACUGACACUGACAUACGGGUCAGACUCCUACGGGAGGCAGCAGUCGGGAA
rnacentral:rRNA from 1 species